rnacentral:rRNA from 1 species
GACGAACGCUGGCGGCGUGCCUAAUACAUGCAAGUCGAACGCAGUGGGGACGGGUGAGUAACACGUGGGUAACCUCCCAUCAAAGGGGAUAACACUUGGAAACAGGUGCUAAACCGAUACUGAUGGAUGAACCCGCGGUGCAUUAGCUAGUUGGUGAGGUAACGGCUCACCAAGGCCACGAUGCAUAGUCGACCUGGCAGGGUGAGCGUCCAUAUUGGUAAUGAGACACGGCCCAGACUGCUAUGGGAGGCAGCGGUAGGGUACCUUCGGCAAUGUACGAAAGGCCUCCCGAGCCACGCCGCGCGACUGAAGAAGGUUUUCGAAGCGUAAAACUCUGUUGUUCGAGAAGCGGCACCUAACCAGAAAUCAACGGCUAACUACGUGCCAGCCGCCGCGGUAAUUC